AGCCGACCCGGCCUCGGCCCGCACCGCUGGCCCGCGCUGCCCCGGUUCCACGCCUGAGUGAGUCCCGCUUCUUUGCUCCCUACCGGUGCUGCUCUUGCUCUGGGUCUCUUUCUCGGCUUGCCUCCGUUUUCUGCGGAUGCGGAACCGAUCCAAACUUCUCAGUGGCUCCAGCUGGGGCGACUCUGCACCCCUAGGGUGCCGCGGUCUUGCUAGCCCUUCUCUCGCGCCCGCUCUGGUACUCGGGAGGACUGGACUGGUGAAGUGAGGGACGUGGCCGGGAUGCGGACUUACUUGGUGUCCUUGCCUCUCCCGCACACCUGCCCCGCAGUCCCUGGUUAGACACUUUCGUCCAGGUCGUGGGCAUGGCCCGCUUGAGAGGACGAAGGCGGAGUGGGGGGAAGCCCUCGGCGGGCAAGCGGGGAAAGGGGAGCCGCUCCGUGAGCCCCGGUGUCGGGAAGGCGGCGAGGUGCCGGGUGGAGUUGGAAAGGUCGGGCGCCCGAUCUAAGAGUUCACUCAUCAUCCUCUCCCAGCCCAUCUCCUCCUGUUCUUUUCUGGCCAGCCUUUCUUCUGGUGGCGAGCGGAGGUGGAGGGGGACCUGGGAAGUUUGUGGCAACUUCUCUAUCCCGGGAGCCACUCGGGCGUUGGGCGCUCAAGUUGGAGCCCAGAGUUUAAGAGCCGAAGUACAGCGCUCGUGCAGCCCACGCGGGCGAUCGCGGGUCGAUCCUGGAGGUGUUUGGGCUUGGGCGGGAAGCUGGAGGAGGUACGUGGUGUCUUAGUUUUGGGGCUAUGGCCGCACAGGUGCAGCCCCAGGGUCAACUCUUCAUUUCCCUGUGACAGUACACAACCAAGAGCGGCGGCCUUCUACAGUGUUCCUCUACUGCAGGGCUCCCAGAGUGGCCAAACUGGGGUUGGGGAGCCCGAAUGCAAGGGAUUAAAGGGCAAGUGGCAGGCUCGGACAGUGACACGUGCGUGUGCCUGGCCGAGCAAAACAGGUCCCUUCUGGGAUGAUCCCAGAAGACCGAGAGGACAGCAGCUUAGAGCUCAGGGUAGAGGUUUUGGCCCUGGCCUCCACUAGGGCCACGUUUUACUUAACAAGAUGUCAGCCACAGGGUCAUCUUCCAAAAAUGCCCGGUUGACAAUUUUGACCCCUGCGCCCUUCCUGGGAGAACUUUCUCUGUGGUAUACCGGAUUCCCAGGGUUAAGACUUGAAUUUCACUUGUCCAUAGGGACAGGAAGACACCUAAUUCCCUGGAGAGAACCUCUUCUGCUCCCGAUUGAUUGGCUGAGGUUCCAUAUUUGUACCCUUGGAGGCCAGAGCACCCGACUUUCCCAGAAAGACAGAAGAGGGGAAUGAGCUAGUCUGGCCUCUCUCCGCCAGGAGUCAGGUUCUGUCUUUAAGCAGUAUCUGGGUUUUACAGAGUUUGCACCUGGUGACAGACUUCCAAACUUUACUUAAAUUCACACCUUGCUCAAAGUGAUUUUCUGAAAGAGUGAAAUUUUAUUUCGUAGUCAGAUUCUCCAGAUAGAUAGAUGGAUUCAGUAAGUAUGUAAGUUGUGGCCAUAAUUUAAACCCAAGGAAAGCGGUGUUGCGGUGUUGACUCUAAACCCCUUUAUGAAUCCUCCAUGUAGGACUCGUGCUAUGACUUAGCAGCGGUUCUUUAUUUCUAUGGCAUAUUAUUUUUGUAGAACAGUAGUAAGUGCAUACACUGGCUGCUCCAGUCUGCUGGCAAACAUUAGCAUUCAAGCUUACAUUUUUGACAAAUGUGCAGACAGGAAUAGCAUGAAUAGGCAUCUUAAAUAUUAACAACCCAAGCAUCUGUUGUGAAACAAAUUUAAUAUAUUUACUCAGUCUUUCUCACAUUGUUAGGAAAGGUUAUAAUAAGUGCUUAAUUUCAACUUAACUUAGCAGAAGUAACUGGCGGCAUCAUUCACUACCUCCCAAGCUCUAACACAGUUACCCGGCAGAAAGACUUUAAUUAACUUGGUUAAGGGCAUUGUUAAAUAAAUACACUUUAAGCAAUGUGCAUGCUAUAUAACAUGCAAAAGUGCCGAAAUAGCCAUCCUGUUUGUGUGCAUUUUAAAUGACCUCAUCUUAUAAAUAUACCAAGUAUGUUUGUUCUUCAUCUCCAUUUGACACUUAUUAGUUCAUUUUUCUAAUGGCAACAAUAUUUUAAAUGUAGAGUUGUUCAGUCGUAUGUAAUACAUAAUAUGUAAACAGUAGCAAUAAAAUACAAGGCAUUGUUAAAUUUGAAUAUGGCUACAUGUAACAAGGUUAUGCAAGAGAAAUAAAAUCACUGCUCAAUUUUGUUUUCCUUUCUGAAUAAUGAAUCCAGAUGAUGGAUGAAAAAAGAACAAAUAGGGAUUUCCUCCCUGAAGUAAUAGCUUCUUAAAAUGUAUGCGAGGUAGGAGAGGGAGAACAAUGAUAAAGACCUAAAGAACUUCCCAAAUCCACACAGCUAUUUCCAGAAUCAAUGCAUUCCUUACUUUCCCACAAGCUGAAAUAUGUAAUAAAUAAUAGUUCUUUGUAUGUAAAAGUAUUCACAAGGAAUGCCUUUUGUUCCCUUGUAAUAAAUUAAUAUAUUCUUCUUCAGUUGAUAAUCUACAAAAGUAGUUCCUUGUCUCUUGGCAUUUUCAACAAAAGCAACAACAAAAUGAAUAUUGGUUUAGUCUUCAAAGAAGUCUGUUGCCAGCUCUGUGAACCUGUGACUGAAUAGGACAUGCUGUCGCUGAGUGAUAGCUGAGAAACACCACAUUCAACUAGCAAGGGCUGAAGAUCUAGGGGGAAUCUCAAUGCUGUUUUCAUGUGACAGGUUGUGGGUUGUAAAUUAGGCCUAAAAGGUCAGGUGACAGGCACCUGCUCCUCAUUAUUGUAGAAAUCUUUUGGUUACAAACAGCGUUAAGCUAAACACAACAUGGGUAUGGAACAGGGGCUGUCUAAAGCACUCCAGUAGUUUUACCUGCUUUGUAAAUGUCUAAACAGCACAUACACAGAAGCCAUUUCUUCCCUACAUGUUAUCUUGUAUGAUUGCAAUUAAUAUUAUGUUAGUACUUGGAACUGAUGAAGUACAUAAGUGCAUGACUAAAUCAAUCUUCUAAUUAUGUCUAGACAUUGUAGUGGAAUGUAGAAAAUAUUUUUCCUUAAAAGAAAAAAAAAACCCGUUUUUCCUUUGCAAAUUAUUGAUUGAUUGUCAGAAUCGUGUUCAUGUUUUACCUGGAAAACCUUGCCAAGUCCAAGUGUCCUUUUAUACUUUUUAGAUGAAUUCUCAUUUAAAAUGAUACCACAAAAUUUUGUUUCUCAGCACCCAUAGAUGAGGGGGAAACGAGUUGCUCUGUUUUGCAGUAGCUUCGUGCCAUACAUAGAAUGGAAAGAAAAGCACAUUGUACAGGAAUGUAGGAAGGCUCUUCAGACCUGGCUGUUCUCUUGGGAGUAUUCAGAGUUCUUCCUGUUGAAAGAGGGGAGCAUCGCUUAAUCCCUAUAAGUGGCUUCCUUUUACACGUUCCAGAGAGCAAACUGUGCAUGUCCAUAGAAGAGACCACACCAGCAUAAGGUGACAGAAUAUUAGAGGUGCCAGUUGCUUUUAAUUAGCAGAGGAGGAUGAUUGUGAGUAAAGUAAAUAACUCAGGUUAUUCGGUUCUGUUAUUAAAAUAUGUUCUUUAUCCUUUUUGCCUUUAAAUAGUUUGUGCUUAUUAUAUGAAGCACUCCUUUUUGGUAUUUGCUUUUGAAAUUGAUUUAGUUCUCAUAUUCUAAAACUGUGUGAUGAUUUUUUUAAAAAUAAAGUUAAUUAAUAGAUCAGGCAAAAAAAAAAUAACCCACAGUAGGGUAUAUUUUCUGGUAAAAUGAAAGUUAUGUUUCAGCAUGAUGAACACCAGGCUUCAGUAGUCUGCUCCUCGUGUGCACUGAGCACUUCCUACUUCGAGCUAGCAGGCACCUACUGUUUAUUUACGCUGCAUUAAACUGACAGCUCAGCAAUCAGAGGAAAAAUAUUACUUACCUUCCUGAAGUAAAUACCAGUUUAUAGGUUAGUGCACGUAUUUAUAUUCCUGUCACCACUAAAUAAUGGCUCUGUCUCUGUUUUAAUAUCUACCUGGGCUGUAACCCAGCGAUUCACACUGUUCCUGGCUGGGAGGAAGGGGUCGACAGGAGUUUUUCUUCCCGUUCCCUGGUGGCAAAACUCUUAAAAAAGAAUCGUUUCAUAUUCUCAUCUCUGUCAUGUGAAAACUAGUUGGGAGAGAUGUUGGACACUUUUCCCGUGCACCCCCACUGCAGCAUCAACCCCCCAGCAUGUUGGCAUGCCACUAAACACAGUCAUCCUGAGGCCUCCCCUGGACGGAUGUGCACAAGCACAGUCAAGUAUGCCUUUGCUAAAUUAACUUUCCACAGAGUUCCAAACAGAUCAAACUAUGUGAUUCCUUAGAUUGCGUCUGCGAUAAGGACCCUUCCCUUCCCAUUCUUGGGUGGAAUGCUUCAGUUUUUAAUACAGUUCUGCAAAGAUACCUAUAAAGUAGAAUUUACUGUUUGGGCGAUUGCUUCUUAGCUUUGCUCUAAACAGGCUGGCUUCCCUUCCUUCCUUCCUUCCUCCCUCCCUUCCUUCCUUCCUUCCUUCCUCCCUUCCUUCCUUCCUUCCUUCCUUCCUUCCUUCCUUCCUUCCUCACUUUCUCUUUAUUGUUAAUCUGCCAUCCUCAAAAUAAGUGUUGUUGCUACUUUUAUUUUAUAAUACUGAAUAUACCUGUUUCUUCAAUUCAAGGUCCCUCUCUUUCAGGGUCCCCUUGAGACCUCAAAAAUCCUGCUAACGUUGAAUGCUCAAACUCAUGGUUAGCUCAAGAAAAUGCUUAUUGUUGUUUAAAUUGUCUAAGGAGCUCUCGGACUUACUGCCUGUACACAGUUGUCAAUCCCUAACCACAUACUCCACAAACAUCAGAGCAGACUCUGCUCUUAAUACAGCAACCAUGUAAAUUAAAUCUGUUACACAAGGUUCUUCCCCUCCACUCUCCCAAAGAAAAGUAUCUCCCGUGUAAUUUAUAUAGCAUUGCUAACUGCUGUUCUCAAUGGUGAGUCUAUUUAAACUUGAUGUCUUCAUAAAGUGUGAUCAAUACAUUAACACACAUUAUUUUGUACUUUUGAUCUUAUGCCAACAGUACCUUUUGCUGUUUAUUUCUUUAAAGUCUUUUUUAAGAUCAGAUAUUUCAUUGUAGAGUAAAUAGAUACAGAUUGUGUGUAUAUAUAUUCCGGGUGAGAUUUAGUAGUAGAGAAUUUCUCUAGCAUAUUGGCCUAUUUUUAUUCCUUCAAGUCAUUCUGUAUCACUUGCACAGUUGUUGCUGUCUGAAGGUUUGUAAUAGUAUUUCUAACCCCCUCCUCCUUCAAUGGACUUUCAAGGAUGUGAUUCAGUUAGUCAGGGAUCUAGUUCAGUUGUAAGAGAUGAAAAAUAGUUAGCUGAUAUCCCAGAAUUUAUGCCACUGCUUUCUGCUGGAAUUUAUUUGGUCCAGUUAUAUGACAUUUAGUGGAGAAGUAGCUUGGAAUCGAACAUUCAGAAUCUGCUCUGUUUCCAGGGGAGGGCAUAUCUUGCUGGAUAAAGCUUUUACAUGUGUAUUAUUUUAUUUUAACCAUCACUCAUUUUGGAGCCCCACUUGUUGUUGAACACGGUUUUGAAUACUAGGGGUGCAGGUCCCAGUAAUGAGGGGGAACCCUUGCAGAGGAGGUAGAUGUCUGGCUUCACCUGCUUGUGACUUUACUAGAAUGCCUGGGGAUCUAAGCCAGCCUCCCUCUGCUGCUCCCUUCACUCCCUCCACCUAGGUGUGCAGGAAGUAGAGGGCGUUCUACCCAGCUGAAGGGGGUGGACUCUACUCAGAGCUAUGACCUGAUUUGUGGCGCACCCUCAGAUCUGCAGACAUGGUCCAGCUGCUUCCCAGGCAACUGGUAACCACCUCAUUUUGGGCGAGCCUGCCUUGCUAACGUGCCAGAGAGAACUUCGCACUGUCACCCCAUCAAAGACUUUUUUCUUCUAGGGCUAGAGUCGGAGACCAGCCUCUGGUAUUUGAGAGGGUAAGUGUCAGAAGUUACGACUUGGUUCCAUGUGGAGAAUCAGAUUGCAGCCACCGGGACUGACAGACGGAUUGCUCUGGUGUGUAGGUGGGCAUUUGUCUGUGGGAUAUCGCUUUCUUCCCCUUAACUGUGGGUGAUUUGGGAUCAGGUUCCUAGGACAGGUUUCCAGUGUGCAUUCAGCCCUCAUUCUUCCUUGGAUGGUGAGAUGUGCUAGUAGUCUCCACGAGGGAAAUUCGGAGACCUUCUUUCCUUUAGGUAUUUAAAGAAAAGGCAGCGUGUCAUCUGUGUGGUGGGGAAUUCUUCAGAUGUAGUUUUCCUGGAAGCCAGAGCUGAUGGCUACAGAUUCCUCUGUAAUCUUACUCAGUAUUUUCUAGUGUGCUAUUAAAAGGGUGUAUAUGACAGUGUGGCCUUUUAAUGUUUUCAGUAUAUUAAAGACUUAAAGGCAAAAGAAAUUUUAUGUUCUAAAUAUUUCAUUGUAAUAAUUUUAUAAGCAAAAUAAAAUCACUAUGCAGAUAUCUUUUGAAGUGAAGGGAUCCCUGAGUAGUUUGUAGCCAUAAUCAGCUGUUUGAUGCUGAACGCAAUUGAGUUUUCCUGUUCCAGGGAACCAGACAAUGGGAAUCAUUGGAGAUCAACAACAAUUAAUUCUAUGCAAUUCUUGAUAUUUAGCAAGCUGUUCCUUUGCCAAGAAAAUAUUUUAUUAGUGAUUGAAGCACAAAAUACAAAUGCUUACAGCUUUACAUUUUCAGAGAUUCUGUUGAAGUCACAAAAUAAUCUAAAGGAAACAACAGAUGCCUUGCUUAAUGGUAGACCAGUUCUCUAGUCUGUGGGAGGCACGAACUCUGCUUCCAAAAACUCUUCGAGGUGAGCUACUCUUCUGAUGGUUUAAGAGGACUAAGAAACAAUUUAGAACAUUAUCUUAAAAGUUUAAAAAUGACAGCCUUACUGUGUAUGGAGUCAUUGUAUUUUAAUCAUACUGUAUGCUUAUUAGUGUUAUUAGAGCAGUAGACGGUUAAUUACAGCCUUUUUCUGAGACGUGUUAACUGUAUAUUAACAGCCAUGUUAAGAAAGAAUGAUGUAUGCUCUUGGAUACAAGCUGCUGCUUGCUAGAUUCUUGAAAAAUACCUUUACAAAUGUAUGGAGUCACAUUUUUGGUCAAGAAUCAUCAAGGGUUUUCACUAAGAUACUUUAAUUUUAAAACUUCUACAAGUUAUGGAAUGCCUUUGUUUUCCCUUGUUCCAUUAGCUUUGGCUCCCUGGCUUUUGCUCCUGGCAUUACACGUGGCCAUCACUCUGUAGUAUUAGCUUUUCCAUCCUGUAUUUUGAGAUGUCCACAUGUUCUUGUUUCUGACUUUGGCCAAUAAGAAGCAUGAGAAGCACACUGAGUUGAUUUAGUUUGAUAAAUAUAUUUCUUUUUUUGGUGUGGAAUCAUUGUAGCUAAUGUUCUUUAGUCAAAUUGUAUUAUUCUCAAUUCCAUAUAACCCAAUACUUGAAAUAUAUUUGAAUAGCCGACCACAGCGAUGAUUUUAUUGCUUAAAUCUCAAACCUAGGUUUUAGCAAUGGCUUCUGUCACAGCGAAACAAUAAGUGAGUGGAACCACAGGGUUUUAAUACCUAAACACUUCCCGUGGAUUGGUUAACUGAAUUCCCUUGAUGGAUCUGUAGACCUUGUAAUCUCAUAAUAUAGCAUUUAAAAAACACAGGCGCAUUCCUAUGUUGGGAAGCCUAUAGGUACUGCUGUUUUGUAUUAUCAUACAAGGUAUUAAACUAAAAAACGGAAUUAAGUAUAAGCUACACUUCUGUACCACACAAACUGAACUGAAGGGACAGUUCGCCUUCUCUGUCUUGCAUAUAGCAAGCACUCAUUUAAGGAGAGCAAAAUUAAUAAUUGGGUAAUAGUGAAUAUAGCUUGUGCUGGUAAAGGUUUAUUGAAAAAAAAAAGAGACUUUUCUUCAAAGCUUUUCAUUUUUUGCUCAUACAUGAGCAUCUGAUCCUCCCGUGAUCCAGUUGGGUAGAUUAUUUAAUGUUUCCCUUUAAGUGUGUCCCUUCUUUAAGCGUGUCCUCUGUCCUCUGCUGGGUUUUGGAUAACAGCACUAGAGUUUCUGUCUUAUCCUUUCCUUUAGGAUUAUGUCAAGUUUCUGUUUAGCUUCAUGGUGCUUUGCUGUUGGGCUGUGGUAACAAACUUCACCAUAAUCAACCCAAAGCAAUACCCUGCAUUUCAGGUUGGGCUUCCACAUAGGGGUCAGGCUGGUAUUCCAGAGCCCAGCAAAGGGCUGGUGAGUGGUGCCAGUCUCCUUGAUCUCUACCCCCUCUUUCCAACUCCAGUGAUGUUUUCUCAGGACCACAUUAUGUAGAUGUCAGCCAUGAUGAAUGCAUAGAGACAAAAAAAUCCCUGUAGUUACGAGCCUCAUGUACCAAUAGGAUAGGAUUUGGGGUGCUUAUAUGAGAGGCUUUCCAUUCACCCCUUAAAACAUACACAGGAGUCAACAAUAGGGCUCCUUAGCUAGAUGUUAACUUUUGCAAAGGUUACAGGCAUUCUUUGAAAGUUAUCUAAAAAAGAGACCUCUUUAAAAAUUUUUAUUGUGUUUUUAAAGCAUGCGUGGGACUAUUUGCAAGACAUUCCUAUUUAGUUACAUUCCAAAAAAUAUGCUUUAAGUGGUGCACUGCUGUGUGACCUAUUGCGUUAUCACACACAUUCUGUCUCUUUAAAAACACACUCUCCUCUAUCUGCCCUAUUAAUUGUUGAUAUGUUGCCAUCCACGAGACAAAAAUUAGAGCUGUAAUUAAAUAAUCAUGUGAUGCUCCUUAGUGCCAGUGAGAGCAAACUCAUUUUUCCAGGCCCUGAUGGUCACUGAUUAUUGUAUUACCACUGGCUUGCUUGAUUUUUUUUAACGAUUCUCUCUGUAGCUUCCCUAACCACUGUCCUUUGCAAAAUUAAAGAAACUAGCAGACAUUGAGACAGUUAAUUGCCUGGAGGGAGGUCCUGAGGGAUAAAAGGUAGGGUUACCUUUUUUUUCUUUGCCUUUGGUCACCUGGUAGGUUCUUUGGGAAGGCUACAUCACUAGUGUGGUUGGCUGCCAUUUAAUUUACACUGGUGUUUUGGCUGGGAUGAAGGCAUAUGGGGAAUGCCAGGAGAAUUACAAAAGGAGCUGGGUAUUAAAAUUCAGAAAUGAUUAAAAUUGAAAUAAAAGGAUGCUGCUUCUUUGCCAGUGCUCUGGCAGUCAUAAUGACACAUAGAGAUUCGCCUCUGCCUUCAUCCUCUCCUACUUUCUCAUUUCCUCUUGUUUAUUGUUGACACAUUUUCCUUAUGUCUGCCUCUCAUCUCUGUAUCUUUUGUACUAUUAUGUGUUUCUCCUUCUCUCGCUUUCCUUAAGCAUGGAGAAGCCUACUUAACCUUAUUAUAACAAUAACAGAAUAGGUUAUUAAUAUUUAAUAUGCACAUGAUUAAAAUUUCUCUCCCUUAAACAUAGGUCAGCUGUAUUAUUAUUAACCAGCAUGUAAUUUUUCAUUUAAAAUAUUCCUACUCUGCCUUGCCGUUUCUGAAAUGCCUUCUACUUUAGUAGUGAUUUAAUACAUAAUGUUUAGAAAACUGUGGACGGCUACUGAGAAAAGAACUUACCAGUCAUGGAUAAUCAAUUAUGCAUGAAUUCAAAUGUAGCAGAUGGAAUCUGGUGAGUUAAAGUUUCUCUAUGCCUUAGCUUUUUUUUUUUAAUUUGUUUGUUUGACACCUGUCUCUUAUAUAUAGAUAAACAUCUAAUAUGGCAUGUGAGACAUUUCCUUGUGUCUUUAUUUCCCUUUUAAAGUGAACAGAGUUUUUACAUUCAAUGUAAAGGCACAGACACCUUGAUCUGUCCCUAAACAUCUGCUUCUGUCCCUUUGUUUUAUAGAUGUGGAAUCCCCCUUAGCUAAUGGCCACUCAGCUGGAUAGUGGGGUGGGAAGGAAGACCCACACCUAGUUUCUAUUCUUCACUCUUGUUUUCUACUGAAUCAGAGACCCUUUCAGUGGGAGUUGCUUAAUAAUAGGGUAUUACACUAACUGUUGGUUUUAAAGGCUUUCUGAUGAAAACAGCGGUGCCCCACUUUUUAAUUGAGUAAUCUAUUCUUGCAUGUUAUGCAAGUGUUAACUGUACAUUUAUCAUGUUAUACCAUGUGCACAUUAUAUACACACAUGAUAUUUAUACAUACUUAGAUAUAGGCCAAGCCAUUGGGUUUUGCAAGUUUAUUAUGGAUACCACAAGAGUUAGCUUUAUAUCCUAAACUGUAGCCACUUCCAGCCUCAAAGAUACACUUGUUUAAAGCUGUGUAAACUUCUAGUGAUAAAUUCCCUUCCUACAAAGGGAACUCAAGACUUGGUUUCAAGGGCCUUACUAACUCAAGGAGAGAAAAGAAGUCUCAUCUUUAUUCAGUGUGCUUUGCUUCUACUGUAACAGGAGAAAAGUCGGUACUGAGCAUCCUUCAAGCAGUACAGUCUCCAGACAGUUACAAGCUGGCCUCCAUCAAAAUUGUGUACAAACAAGCGCGUUGUCUCUCUCCCACAUGUGUUUAUAUAUAAAAAAUACAAAUAAAAAAAGGGUUUUACCAAGUAAAAAUAAAUGAUUAAAAAAUAGCUUCAAGGCCCUUUAGUUCUUGAAAAGUAUAGUGUAGUAUUAUUUAUAAACAUUUUGGUUCUUAUCAGCUGGAAGUUUACAUGGAAACUAGUCCAUGUUACUUCUCUAGUAAAUUAAGUCUCACAAUGAACAUGUUAAUGAGAGGCACCUUCCAGACAGGUAACUAGGCCUUCCACAGCUAAACUGUCAACCUAUUUAUAAUAAUUAAUGCUUUUAUCAUAAUAAAUAUAUCUUUAAUUUAGGUCUACAACAUAUUAAUAUAAAAAUGUAUACUAUGAGAUCAGCAGGAAUAGAUGAUGUAAUACUCUAUCCAGGGUAGCAUAGCAUAGGGAAGAAUGUUUGUAAUUGUUGGAUUAGAAGUUAACUACAUUGAUCCCUAUCCCUACCAGAGAAGUAACUGACUAAAUUUGAAGUUAACUAAAUUUAGGUUUAAGACCUUUGUUUUAAAAAAUAGAGUCUAAAGUCAUCCCAUGCAGACAAUUUAUAGAUUAUUAUUACACUUGUGUCAACCUCUCAAGGAUGCUUUCCUACUUGAGUGAUUGAGGGAAGGUGUGCUAUUUUGUGAAUGUAAUCAUUGUGCAUUUCGAAAAGAUACACAAAGAAUAUUUGGACUGACUGUUCUCAUGUGUUCCCGUCUCCCUCCUCUCUUCCUCCUUUGCUAAGGCUCGGUGUUGAGUCAGUGUUAAAGAGAGCAGCAUCUUCUUGCAUUUGGAGGUCCUUCAGAACGGGUGAGAUAUUGGUUGGUGAUUACCAGGCUAAUAUGUCCUUUGGGUCAGACACUCGUCCUAUGAAUCAGUUGUCUGUUACAGACUGGACUGUGGCUGUUGCCAGGUAAGGACAAAGCCCUGGGAAGUUGGUUCAGGGAUGGCUUGUCCAGUGUCUUGGAGCCCAUUGUUUCUCUGAGGCUUGGCGUAAGGUGUUAAUGAUGAUAUAUUUCUCCUGCAUAUAGGAACAGCUGAUUGGUUGGCUCUGCUAUUUGGUUUAAAUUUUUUUCCUGUGGUAAAUAUCUAACCCAAAACGUGCCGUUUCCAUGAUAUUGAGGAUACAAUUCAGCGGCAUUGAUUAUAUUUACACCAAUAUAAACAGCUGUCACUAGUGGCCCCUCUGAAUUCUACCAACCCAGUAGCAUUUACCUUUGAACUGACCUCUGCCUUUGUCCAUCAAAUUUCAGGCAUUAAAAUGGGGGCAGCUUGUUUUCCAGCUGAGGAUUUGUCUCAGGUCAUGCCUUUCCUUUGCUCUAGUGUCCUGUGACAUCGGUUUGCUCAUAGCGGUACAGUACCAGAUAUUGCUUUUACCAGAUAUUGCUUUUGGCUGAUGUCUCCACAAACAUUACUUGGAUUAGCAUUUGGGCCUUUAUCCCUCAACUAAACUUUUUAUCCCUGCAACUAGCCCGGAAAACAUUAAUAAUAAUAAUAAUAAUAAUAAUAAUAAUAAUACCCGAAUCUCCAAGGAAGUCUGAUUGGUAUAUGUUGGCUAACGGUUGGCAAGGGCUGUCAGGAUUCAUUGGCAUUAGAGUCCUUUCGGAUUCCCAAGAGUCCUGCCCUCCUUAAUUGAGGUUGAAGUGUCCCUCAGUGGCUGUAAAGGCAUCCAGGACAUGUACAGCUUGAGUACUUUGGUUCUGCUCAAAUGCAGUGAUAGUCUAGAAAAGAAAAGGACAAAGAAAAGUUUUCAAUUAUUAGAAAAGCCCACUCAAGGUUAAAUAGUGGUUAUGAGGGGAGGGAAAAUAAAAAUCACAUUCAUCUGUGCUGGAAAAAAGGGGCGGGUUAGAGGAAACUUGGAUAGUUCUGGCUCCAGUAAAUAAUAGACUGGUUGCAGAACGGAGCUUCCAUGUGUAAUUUUGUGGUUAGUCGCUUAUGUCUGCGAUGAUAAAUCACAUACCUGCAUAGGAUUUUUGGCACCCCAGUAAAUCUCAAGCAAGUGCCCAAAUGCUAAUUUAUCACGGUUCCUUGGACAGCAUACCUCUUUUUACCAACUCAUGAUCUAAUAUCCUGUUCCUACCCUCUGAUCUGACUGUUUCAAACAAAUGCCUGCACAUCUACUCCUUGAGUCUUGGAGCUCUCACUGCUGGUACUUAAAACAAACCUGCCUUUCUAAGUGUCCCCAGGAUUAGGUUAAAAACUUCAGUUCAUGGAUAACCUAGUGGGCUUCUUUGAGUCCCUGCUUCUAAAAUUUUACCUGCACUGGUGGAUGCCUGACCUGAUUACUUAGCAGAAACAAUCCUGCAAACCUUAAAAACACUGCCUGGCUCACACAUCUUCAACGAUUCAGUUGCAGUAAGCUGUGGUCCCCAUACUCUGCCUUUCUAAGAUUCUUAAGGAUCCCUUUGUGCAAAGAGUUCUGGGAUUUCUUCGCAGGCACAGCGAAAGACUCCAGGGAUAUGCACACAUGUGAUACAUUUUAAGAUGUUUUGAGCCUUGCAAUUUGGAGGUACCAGUUUAGAACGUGAAUGCCACAGAGAUAGUAGAAUGGGUAGUGUGAUAGAAGAGCAGGGAAGGGAAAUAGCUGUAGCAGUAGUGGUAGCAUAGCCAUAGCCGUAGCUUAGCCCUAGCCAUAGCCGUAGUCAUAGCCAUAGCCGUAGCAUAGCCAUAGUCAUAGCUGUAGUCAUUUUUUCCCCUGCAGUGUACCAGGUUUUGGACAGCAAGUCUAAACUAAGCUGUGCAUUAAAAGAAGUAGCUGAAGGGUCCUAUGAGAAAAAAAAAGGGGGGGGUGUCUGAAGUUUAUUCCAAGAGCCAUAAAAUCAAACCAGGCAUCUAGAAACAGGCAGAAUGGUGGUCCUGUACUAGGUGGGCUCAUUGGCACUGCAGGAAUCUUUACUGAUCCUUACUCGGCUUUAGAUCUGGGUCUAGAUAGAAAUACUAAUUUUGAUGAAGUUAUUUCCACUAGGCCUCAUGAAAGGUUUAUAUUAAUGUCUGUGAAAGGAAAGGUAGCUUAAAAAAAAAAUCUGUUCAAUAAAUCCUUGUUAGUGAAAUUCCUUUUUGUUGGGUGUAGAGGCCCAGCUGACUUGACAGCCAUGAUAGCUAGCACUGCUGUGAUACUGACUUGCCGAAAAUGCAUCACAAGUUACCUUUGCGAAUUUGCAUCCAACCUCAGAGGAAUUGGGGGACAUCUUUUCAUCACUAUCAGUCUGGCUAGAACCGAAACCCAGCUUCCUUGAGUAGGAAAAAGCCCAGAACCACUGAAAUCUUGGACCUGCUCAUCAUCAUCCUCAUACUUUGCUCUCUCCUUGAACUUUUCUAGCCUUUAACAUUUUUUUUUUUUCUGGAGUGUACUGUACCAGGUUUUGGUAGCUAGGUACUCUGUUUAAGUAUCUCCAUUACAAAACUCCAUAGCUAAGGGGGUUUGUGUUAGCAUCACAGGAAGCUGCAGUACAGGUGGAAUGGCUGUGUGUCUCUUAUAACGGUGUGCCUAUGGUAUUACAGUACUCACAGCAAACAACCUAUAUGGUAAUUGCACAUUGUCCCGAGUGUGUUACAGGACCCUCUCAAGUGCAGGCAUGACUGGAAAGCUGUCUUAAAUUGUGUUCACUAGUCUCAUUCAGGCAACAUUACAGAUCUUUGGGCUAAUUUUAAAAUGGAAAAUGGAAAAUGGCCUGCAUUCAGACAUCUUUAGAACGUUUGAAAGCCAGUCAGCACCUCCAAGCUUCCUUCUGGUCAGAUCCUGGGUUCACUUACUCACCUCUUACAGGAGUUCUUUAGGUAAAUGCUGUCCAGUAGGACGUUCUGUAAUGGGGAAGCAUCGUAUAGUCUACACGGUACGAUUGUGUGAGCCACUAGCCACAUGGGACCAUGGAACACUCAAAGUGGGAUGGAGGGACUAACUUGCAAUGCUUAAAAUUAGUGUCAGUGCAGCUACUGGUGAAGAUUGGUUGCAAAGGACACCAAGGGCUCUUUGCUCUUCUCUAUGCAGUCAUAAGGCAAAUAUUUCGAGAAUACUGCAUUCAGUUCUCAAUCUAUGGUAAUUAGUGGGGACUUCCUCACUGAAAGGGCUUGCAGCCUGAUAAGGGAGAUGCUUACCUCACUAAUAAUCACUCAGGUGGUUAGUUGAUUAAGAAGGUGAUGGCUGUUACAAAGGAGAAAUGCAGGUUGGUAGAAGAAUGUACACCAGGACCCAUAACUUGUUAUAGGAUUAGUCAAGGGCUUUAGUACGGGAAAUGAUGAGGCAGAACACUUGAACUUUGCUAACUUCGAGGUGGGGUCAGGUUGGCUACAGGACCCACAGGUAUCAGACUCAGUCAGUCAGUACAUGCCCCGCCAUGACCUCCAAAGACAUGUAGUUUAUAAAAGCUACACGCACACUUUGGGCUCACAAACUUGAGCAAGUAGCUGCUUUCUUAAACUGUACGCAGUUGUCAUGAUGUUGGUUAUAGAUAAUAUGAGAUAAGAGGCUGCAGAUAUCUACAGGAUAUUGCAUUUCCUCACGAAAAUAUGCCUUGAUGAAGCUUCAGCCCCACUGUUCCCCACCCUGCUCAAGCAAAGUGGUGUUUGGUCCAUUCAAGAAAUGUGUAGAAAUCAGUACUGACGUCCCAGACAGACAAAAUGAGACACACGGCAGCAAAACAUAUGGCCUGGAAUAGACAUCCUUGUAUGGCCAACACGGACCAUAUUCCCAGAAACUCACACAUAGAGGACACCACCUGCAGCCGAAGCCAAAACAAAGGGUUGACAUGACAAAAAGCAAUGUGUGACACAGACUGAGCUACUUUGAGUGGAGACGGCCAACUGUAUUUGAAAUUAAAAAGAUAAACACAAGGCAAGACAUGUCCAUAGAAAGCGUUUUGCUGGUGAGUGUUGCUUUACUAACAGGCACCAGAGGAACCGCAGUAUCGGAAAGCAUUCAGGGUCGAAAUGCCUUCUCUGUUUAUUAAGACUAUACACACCAUUCACAGCUCUAAAUGUGUCUUAACGCCUUUGGAGAACAUCUGAAGCACGCAGCAGUCCUUUCAUGAAGUCUUUAAAAGUCUCGCGCAUUUGUUAUGAUAUUCCAUGGGCCUUUCCAUACAGUUCAGAUGCCCUUUUCCAUGCAAGAGAGGACUGAGGUGCUGUUCUGACGGUACCCAUGCGCUGAAUAGUUCACGCACUGGGGCUGCAGGACUUAGGCUGCUGCUGAAGUUCUCCAGUUCGAUAGCAAGAUUUAUAAAUCCUAAUUUGUUUUAACUUUUCUUCAACAGUCGCUUGUAUCUUUAUGGCUAAAGAUAAGAUGUCCCUGUAGAACCUGGUAGCAUUUUUGUCUCUAUCCUGACCGCUUAUGAUCACGUAGGUCUCGGAAGCCAAUAUAAUUUCCUUUCUUUUUCUCUUAUUAUUUUGAUGGGAUUUUACCGAUGAGGACUUAGUACCUAGAGCGCGUUUACUAAUGAGGAUGGUUACACACAUCGCAUACUCUCAUGAGCAUGUAUAGUAAGACAGCCCUUCACUAUGGUGCAUCAUGAGGUCUCAGCCUGAGGGCCUUUCUCCCCCGGACAGUUUUCAGGACAUAUACUUUAUUCUUUAAGAACUGAUAGCUUUAGGAGUGACAUAUGUGCAUGACUAAUAGGUUGGUGGUUUUCCUAUACUGUUACUCUUUAUAACAGUUACUAUUACAUGGCAUUUUGCUCCUUCAUUCCGUCAGUUCCCCAGGCCACGUUAGUCCUUACUCCAUACUUCAAUGGCAUUUGUUUAUAAAUAGGUUGUGGUUCCUGGGUAAAAGGUGCUGUCAAGACUAAAAUUUCCCAGGUUAUGUCAGCAUGGAUCAGGUCCCCGGGAGGCUGAGGAAAUCAGGAGGCAUUUUGUCACAUUUACUUGUGUAAAAUUAUUGGAGAAACAUAGUAUUUUCAUCCCCUUGUAGCCCAUCUCAGAAACCUUUUUGUGUUUUUAGUAUUCUUGUCUUUCAGCUCAGAAUUUGUUUUGACCAACAGUCUGCUCCUUCCUUCCUUCCUUCUUUUUUCUAAGAAUUCAAUUGAAGUUGACUUGCAUUAGCAAGUGACAUACUGCUGCCUUUGUAGGCCUGUAUAAUUUUUCUCUUUUUAUUAUUGUUUGUUAAUUCAUCCAGCAUGACACUAGAACACACUGUUCCUACUAAGAAAGGUCAGGUUUCAGGGAAACAUGUCAGGCAUUACCAAUUUGAAGGACUAUUCAGAUAUCCACAGUGGAGACUGAAAGUUUAAUGUAUCCUAUUGAAAAAACAUCAUUGUUCUUAUCAAGAUAAUCACGUGUGUUCUUUUAAAUAUCAAAUAUCUUUCAAAAUAAGCUUAGCCUCCAGUCACAAUACAGACUCCCACACAGGUGCUAUAUUUGGCUGUAUUUGUAUUUUCCUUAUUGAUUACUAUACUGUAAAUAGCCUCCAUAUUUCCCACACAUUUCAGCUUUAAAAAAUGUCCUUUUAGCCUUUGUGGUGAAGGUGGUUUAAACUUCCCUUGUUUUGGAUGGUAUGUUUCUGCCUUGCUAUCACAUGUCCUUUUUUUCUUUCUUUUUUUUCUCAAGGGUUUGGUGCCAAGAUUCACGGUUGCCUUCCUCAAUUUUGACUAACCUUUCCGGUUUGUGGUCGAACCUGGGUGCUCUUGGAGCAAUCUAUUUUCUUUGUGCUCCUCCUAAACUUGCACCCUCUACCCCACCCCAAGGGGCAGUAAUUUCCCCUACUUUACCUUCUGCUUUUUUUAGACUUCUAGUUGUAAACACUGUGCCUGAGAGUGUAUUGGUCGCUUUAAAGAGCUUCAUUUGCAUAUCUUCGUCCUUAUCUCUGCGGUUGUCCUAACUUGUUGCUUUAAAAAAAAAAGUGUAUCACAGUGUUUUUCAGUUCUACACAUCUCUCCCCUAAUCUAUUGCAUUCUUCAAAACAGUUCUUCAAAAUAUAACACUUGGCUCCUCCGGUGGCACAAACCUUAGUGAUUAAAAGAUGCAUUUUUUUUUUAAAUUUUAGGUGGAUGUCACGGUGUUCAUUUUUAUGUGGACUGUAUUUAGUAAAUUACCUAAAGGUCGUACUGUGUAAUAAUGGCCAGUAAUGUAACUGGGGAUCUUUUGUCGAUGACAAAAGUAUUUAUUGCUACAACAGAUGAAUUCACUAACCCAAACUUUCCUAUAUUCGCCCGAUGGGAAGUAUUUUAAGAGUGAUGACAUCUUUUCCUUUGUAAUGGCAAGUCAGGUGUGUGUUUCCAGUGACCCAAAUUUAGUUUAACUCCAGCACUACGGGCCGCGUUUCAGAAGUCCAAAGUAUCUAUGGCUCUGACUUGUUCGGAAAGCCCUUACUCAGUUGUUACUGCAUGUCACUCUUGGCAGUUAAGAGACCACAUUCCUUUGAGAAUAAGUACUAGGGCGAGCGUCACCCGGCUUCUUGCCUCUCUUGCCCUCCUACCCAGGCACUCCGCGGGGCUCUUCUCGCCAGCACGACUAGCUGCUUGCCCACCUCAAGUGACACCUGCACGCCCCCGCCCCCGUCCCCCCGGGGCGGCUCAGGGUCCUCUAGUCACCCCUCCUUCGCGCUGCCCGCACGCACCUGCCCGGG
ensembl:lncRNA